rnacentral:tRNA from 1 species
AGAUGUGGCUCAGUUUGGUAGAGCGCUGCGUUCGGGACGCAGAGGUCGUGGGUUCGAAUCCCGUCAUCU